GUGGGGAAUUUUGGACAAUGGGCGCAAGCCUGAUCCAGCAAUGCCGCGUGCAGGAAGAAGGCCUUCGGGUUGUAAACUGCUUUUGUACGGAACGAAACGGUCCGGGUUAAUACCCUGGGCUAAUGACGGUACCGUAAGAAUAAGCACCGGCUAACUACGUGCCAGCAGCCGCGGUAAUACGUAGGGUGCAAGCGUUAAUCGGAAUUACUGGGCGUAAAGCGUGCGCAGGCGGUUUUGUAAGACAGGUGUGAAAUCCCCGGGCUCAACCUGGGAACUGCAAUUGUGACUGCAAGGCUAGAGUGUGUCAGAGGGAGGUGGAAUUCCGCGUGUAGCAGUGAAAUGCGUAGAGAUGCGGAGGAACACCGAUGGCGAAGGCAGCCUCCUGGGAUAACACUGACGCUCAUGCACGAAAGCGUGGGGAGCAAACAGGAUUAGAAACCCCAGUAGUCC
rnacentral:rRNA from 1 species